rnacentral:misc_RNA from 1 species
GAGGUGUUUGAUGUUGAACUAAUGCGAUACCAUAAUGUGGAAGAAGAGAUGGUACAACUACUUCAGAUAGGUAUGGCAUGUGUUGCUACCAUGCCAGACCAACGACCUGCCAUGACCGAGGUGGUUAGGAUGAUCGAAGAAAUGAAUCGUGGUGAUACAGAUGAUGGUCUUAGACAAUCCUCCGAUGAUCCCUCUAAAGGUUCU